GAUGAAGAACGUAGCGAAAUGCGAUAAGUAAUGUGAAUUGCAGAAUUCAGUGAAUCAUCGAAUCUUGAACGCACAUUGCGCCCCCUGGUAUUCCGGGGGGCAUGCCUGUUCGAGCGUCAUUUCACCACUCAAGCCUCGCUUGGUAUUGGGCAACGCGGUCCGCCGCGUGCCUCAAAUCGACCGGCUGGGUCUUCUGUCCCCUAAGCGUUGUGGAAACUUUCGCUAAAGGGUGUUCGGGAGGCUACGCCGUAAAACAACCCCAUUUCUAAGGUUGACCUCGGAUCAGGUAGGGAUACCCGCUGAACUUAAGCAUAUCAAUAAGCGGAGGA
rnacentral:misc_RNA from 1 species